rnacentral:lncRNA from 1 species
AUGAAUCUGCAUCCUUCUCCACGUGGAUUUAACUAUCAUACCAGUUACAGACUAUCAGUUGAGAAGACACUGGAGAGAACCAGCCUGUUUAUUCCUGAAUGUAUAUUUUUGGCUGCGGGAAUUAGUCAUAACAGAGGAAGGGGUAUGUGAUCUGUAUACUUACAAUGAACUUUUCAAGACACAGGCUACAAAAUGCACUGGCUAAGAAAUGACUAGGAACCAAGGGCAGAAUGGGGAUAAAGUGAAUUCCAGCAAAAUGCUGUCCCUUCAAUAAGUCUGACUGGAAGGCCCAAGUGGCCAACUGGAACACCUCCAUGGGAUACAGUAAGUAUGGGGCUUUGGGAAAACACACACACACACACACACACACACACACACACGGCCUACUUUAGCACAGACCCAGCCAUUUGUGAAUCAAGAUUUCUUGGGGGAGAUUUCUGAG